AUUGAACGCUGGCGGCAUGCCUUACACAUGCAAGUCGAACGGUAACGGGCCUUCGGGUGCCGACGAGUGGCGAACGGGUGAGUAAUGCAUCGGAACGUACCUUUCAGUGGGGGAUAACGUAGCGAAAGUUACGCUAAUACCGCAUAUUCUGUGAGCAGGAAAGCAGGGGAUCGCAAGACCUUGCGCUGAUUGAGCGGCCGAUGUCAGAUUAGCUAGUUGGUGAGGUAAAGGCUCACCAAGGCGACGAUCUGUAGCGGGUCUGAGAGGAUGAUCCGCCACACUGGAACUGAGACACGGUCCAGACUCCUACGGGAGGCAGCAGUGGGGAAUUUUGGACAAUGGGGGCAACCCUGAUCCAGCCGUGCCGCGUGAGUGAAGAAGGCC
rnacentral:rRNA from 1 species